rnacentral:rRNA from 1 species
CUGAUGGCGACCGGCGCACGGGUGAGUAACGCGUAUCCAACCCGCCCUUUACUAUGGGACAGCCCGUCGAAAGGCGGAUUAAUACCGUAUGUUGUCAUGUUGAUGCAUAUUUUCAUGACCAAAGGCUUCGGCCGGUAAAGGAUGGGGAUGCGUCUGAUUAGCUUGCCGGCGGGGUAACGGCCCACCGGGGCGACGAUCAGUAGGGGUUCUGAGAGGAAGGUCCCCCACAUUGGAACUGAGACACGGUCCAAACUCCUACGGGAGGCAGCAG